GAUGAACGCUGGCGGCGUGCCUAAUACAUGCAAGUAGAACGCUGAAGGAGGAGCUUGCUCUUUCCGGAGGAGUUGCGAACGGGUGAGUAACGCGUAGGUAACCUGCCUGGUAGCGGGGGAUAACUAUUGGAAACGAUAGCUAAUACCGCAUAACAGUAGAGAUUGCCUGAUAUUUGCUUGAAAGGGGCAAUUGCUCCACUACCAGAUGGACCUCCGUUGUAUUAGCUAGGUGGUGAGGUAACGGCGCACCAAGGCGAAGAUACAUAGCCGACCUGAGAGGGUGGUCCGCCACACUGGGACUGGGACACGGCCCAGACCCCUACGGGGGGCAGCAGGAGGGAAUCCUCGGCAAUGGACGGAAGUCUGACCGAGCAACGCCGCGUGAGUGAAGAAGGGUCUCGGAUCGGAAAGCUCCGUUGUAAGAGAAGAACGAGUGUGAGAGUGGAAAGUUCACACUGUGACGGUAUCUUACCAGAAAGGGACGGCUAACUACGUG
rnacentral:rRNA from 1 species